rnacentral:misc_RNA from 1 species
UCAACCCUCGAACCUCCGUUUCCUUAGGGAAGCCUAGGGUCGGUGUUGGGGCGCUACGGCGAGUCCUCGCGACCCCCGUAGGCCCUGAAAUACAGUGGCGGUCCCGCCGCGGUUGCCUUCUGCGUAGUAAGUCUCUUUUGCAAGCUCGCAUUGGGUCCCGGCGGAGGCCUGCCGUCAAACCACCUAACAACUCCAGAUGGU